GAGUAAAGUGGCGCACGGGUGAGUAACACGUGACUAACCUACCCUUGAGGUGGGGAUAACCUAGGGAAACCUGGGCUAAUACCGCAUAAUACCUACGGGUCAAAGGAGCAAUUCGCUUUAGGAGGGGGUCGCGGCAGAUUAGUUAGUUGGCGGGGUAAUGGCCCACCAAGACGAUGAUCUGUAUCCGGCCUGAGAGGGCGCACGGACACACUGGAACUGAAACACGGUCCAG
rnacentral:rRNA from 1 species